AGGCUGCUCUGUGUUCAGGUUAAAGGCUGUGACCUGGUUCAAGUAAUCCAGGAUAGGCUGUGUGUGAUCAGAUUGGCCUAUUCUUGAUUACUUGCACUGGGGGGCAGCUGUAACUCUUCAAUGAAAAGAACCAGAUGAG
rnacentral:miRNA from 1 species